AGGUCAACGUUUCUGGGGACUGCACACUCAUGAUGUGUGGGUGACCUUGGAGCUCCAGGAGACAGUCUGCACUCGGCUUUCUUCACCGCCAACGUCUCCUCGAUUCACUCCCCCGAGGAACCCCCCGCUGCCUCCGCGAGCUCACAGGCUGGAUGUUAAACCCCGGGGAGCCCGCGGGCCGACAAGGAGCUCCCGAGGAUCGGGCCUAAAGAGGGGUGAGAGGGGUGACGGCUUUAAAUGUUCCCCCGCUGCCGGGGCACUUGACCCCGGCUGGCCCCUUGAAGCCCUCGUUCACGGCUGAUGUCAUCCCCUCUUUUGCAGAGCGGUAACGGCGGCUUGACUCGAAUGUCUUUGUGAGUACCUGCGUGUUGGGUCAUCUGACGCCUGACACUCGCUCUUAUCCCGGUCCAGAUCCAGGAAGGCGGCGCCGCUUCGAUCACGAGAGCUCGUUGACCUUGAACAGCGAACCGCGCCAGAAAAACCACAACCUUUGAGACGCGGCGAGGAAAUGAGAGCGAGGACGAACAAUCAGGACAAACAGAAGGGUGAGCAGGUGAGACACAGAAACAGAAUGU
rnacentral:lncRNA from 1 species